rfam:Moraxella bovis strain CCTG 2133 2133T_ctg_0000015, whole genome shotgun sequence.
CGGGGCGUAGCGCAGCUUGGUAGCGCAUCUGCUUUGGGAGCAGAGGGUCGGGGGUUCAAAUCCCUCCGCCCCGA